rnacentral:miRNA from 1 species
GUUCAACCCCGGGGUUGAAAUUUCAACCCUGCUAGCUCAAGCAGGGUUGAAAUUUAAACCCCGGGGGUGAAC